rnacentral:rRNA from 1 species
AGUGAACGCUGGCGGUAGGCCUAACACAUGCAAGUCGAACGGCAGCACAGUAAGAGCUUGCUCUUACGGGUGGCGAGUGGCGGACGGGUGAGGAAUACAUCGGAAUCUACUUUUUCGUGGGGGAUAACGUAGGGAAACUUACGCUAAUACCGCAUACGACCUACGGGUGAAAGCAGGGGAUCUUCGGACCUUGCGCGAUUGAAUGAGCCGAUGUCGGAUUAGCCAGUUGGCGGGGUAAAGGCCCACCAAGGCGACGAUCUGUAGCUGGUCUGAGAGGAUGACCAGCCACACUGGAACUGAGACACGGUCCAGACUCCUACGGGAGGCAGCAGUGGGGAAUAUUGGACAAUGGGCGCAAGCCUGAUCCAGCCAUACCGCGUGGGUGAAGAAGGCCUUCGGGUUGUAAAGCCCUUUUGUUGGGAAAGAAAAGCAGCAGGUUAAUACCCCGCUGUUCUGACGGUACCCAAAGAAUAAGCACCGGCUAACUUCGUG